rnacentral:rRNA from 1 species
AACGAACGCUGGCGGCAGGCUUAACACAUGCAAGUCGAGCGGGCUCCUUCGGGGGUCAGCGGCGGACGGGUUAGUAACGCGUGGGAACGUGCCCUCUUCUACGGAAUAGCCUCGGGAAACUGAGAUUAAUGCCGUAUACGCCCGCCGGGCAACUGGUGGGGAAAGAUUUAUCGGAGGAGGAUCGGCCCGCGUCUGAUUAGGUAGUUGGUGGGGUAACGGCUCACCAAGCCGACGAUCAGUAGCUGGUUUGAGAGGAUGAUCAGCAACACUGGGACUGAGACACGGCCCAGACUCCUACGGGAGGCAGCAGUGGGGAAUCUUGGACAAUGGGGGCAACCCUGAUCCAGCCAUGCCGCGUGGACGAUGAAGGCCUUAGGGUUGUAAAGUCCUUUCGCCGGGGAAGAUAAUGACGGUACCCGGUAAAGAAG